GACGAACGCUGGCGGCGUGCUUAACACAUGCAAGUCGAACGGAAAGGCCCUGCUUUUGUGGGGUGCUCGAGUGGCGAACGGGUGAGUAACACGUGAGUAACCUGCCCUUGACUUUGGGAUAACUUCAGGAAACUGGGGCUAAUACCGGAUAGGAGCUCCUGCUGCCUGGUGGGGGUUGGAAAGGUUCGGCGGUUGGGGAUGGACUCGCGGCUUAUCAGCUUGUUGGUGGGGUAGUGGCUUACCAAGGCUUGGACGGGUAGCCGGCCUGAGAGGGUGACCGGCCAGAUUGGGACUGAGAUACGGCCCAGAGUCGUACGGGAGGCAGCAGUGGGGAAUAUUGCACAAUGGGCGGAAGCCUGAUGCAGCAACGCCGCGUGCGGGAUGACGGCCUUCGGGUUGUAAACCGCUUUCGCCUGUGACGAAGCGUGAGUGACGGUAAUGGGUAAAGAAGCACCGGCUAACUACGUG
rnacentral:rRNA from 1 species